rnacentral:rRNA from 1 species
AUACGUAGGUGACAAGCGUUAUCCGGAUUUACUGGGCGUAAAGGGCGCGUAGGCGGUCUUGCAAGUCAGAAGUGAAAUUCCUGAGCUCAACUCGGGCGCUGCUUCUGAAACUGCAGGACUUGAGUGCUGGAGGGGAUAGCGGAAUUCCUAGUGGAGCGGUAAAAUGCGCAGAUAUUAGGAAGAACACCGGUGGCGAAGGCGGCUAUCUGGACAGUAACUGACGCUGAGGCGCGAAAGCGUGGGGAGCAAACAGGAUUAGAUACCCUGGUAGUCCACGCCAUAAACGAUUAAUACUAGGUGUAGGGGGUAUCGACCCCCUCUGUGCCGACGUUAACACAUUAAGUAUUCCACCUGGGGAGUACGGCCGCAAGGCUGAAACUCAAAGGAAUCGACGGGG